UACGUAGGUGGCAAGCGUUGUCCGGAUUUAUUGGGUUUAAAGGGUGCGUAGGCGGGUUGUUAAGUCAGUGGUAAAAGGUAGCAGCUUAACUGUUUUACAUGCCAUUGAUACUGGCAAUCUUGAGAGUUUUGGAGGAUGAUAGAAUUCCUGAUGUAGCGGUGAAAUGCUUAGAUAUCAGGAGGAAUACCAAUUGCGAAGGCAGUCAUCUGUGAAAUUUCUGACGCUGAGGCACGAAAGUGCGGGUAUCAAACAGG
rnacentral:rRNA from 1 species